AGAAAUUCUGUUAUACAUACACACACACACAGAGAGAGAGAGAGAGAGAGAGAGAGGAGAGAGAGAGAGAUUAUUUAUUUAUUUAUUUAUUUAUUUAUUCACUUAUUUAUUUUCCUUUCGUUUCUUUCUUGAAGCUUUGGCAAUAUUGUGUUCUUACAAUCACGGCAAAAAAAAAAAAAAAAGAGGCAGAGAAUCAUUUCUAAUAUUCUGUUAUUCUUUUGAUGAAAACAGAACAACUUAUACCACUUAUCUCUCUCUCACACACACACACACACACACAGAUCUUACAGUGGUCUGCAGGCCGGAGAUCUGAGUGGAGUGGAAGGUAAAACCCUCUGGUUUCUCUCUCGGACGUGAUGACUCGAUAGAUCUUUCCUGCAGUAGCUUUGACUCCUGCAGAAAACCCAAAGACAGAAAUACUCUACACACUGCCUGGAUAUGUGCUAUUAGAUUAGAUUAGAUUAGAUUAGAUUAGAUUAGAUUAGAUUAGAUUAGAUUAGAUUAGAAUUAAGGAGUUUCACAGCAAUGGGAGUGGACACUAACCCAAUAUUUUGAUGAAAAUGUGGCAAACAAUAUUGAUUUUUCUCAGCAUGUGUAUAAUAUUACCAGUUUUGUGUAUAUCCAUGACAUAUAAUCAGUUCGGGGGGGGGGGCAAAUACUUAUGCAGCACAUUGAUCUUUUAUUUAUACUGAUCAGCCAUAACAUUAUGACCGAUGACAGGUGAAGUGAAUAAGACUGAUGAUCUCCUCAUCAUGGCACCUGUUAGUGGGUGGGAUAUAUUAGGCAGCAAGUGAACAUUUUGUCCUCAAAGUUGAUGUUAGAAGCAGGAAAAAUGGACAAGCGUAAGGAUUUGAGCGAGUUUGACGAAGGGCCAAAUUGUGACGGCCAGACUACUGGAUCAGGGCAUCUCCAAAACUGCAGCUCUUGUGGGGGUGUUCCCGGUCUGCAGUGGUCAGUAUCUAUCAAAAUUUUCCUUUAAUUCCUGUACAUCUUGGUGCCAGAUACCACAGCACACCUUCCUGGACCUAGUGGAGUCCAUGGGGGACCAACACAAUAUUAGGCAGGUGGUCAUAAUGUUAUGCCUGCUCGGUAAAUAUAUUAUUUCAUGCACCUGUGUAUGCUAUUGUCCUCUGAUGUACAGUGUAAUGAAUUCGGUCACCAGUACGCCAGUACACUGUCACUUCCCAGUCAGUACCCUGAAUUACACACACCUUCAAGAUCUUGUAGUUGGACGUCUUAGCAACAUAAUGCUCCCAGGAUUUGGCUGUAAGCUCUUGCUGCUUGUGGUUUAAGCUGAUCUGCAUGACAACAACAAACAACAAUAAUCAGUCCCGAUCUGUCAGUGUGACGGACAUGUGAAUAAAUGUAAAUAAUCAUUCUUCACCUCUUCGUAUGCAUGUUUCUCCUGGUGAAGGUCUUCCUGCUCUUUCUGGUCCACAACGCUCUGCUGCAAUGAAGAGACGUGUUUGACUUUGUCUUCACUUGUCCGGGCGAUGGCGCCGAUAGCCUCUGCGUCCGGAGUGACCGGUCUCACACCUUCCAGCUCCAGCUCAGCCGUGACUUCGUUCCACACCUCGGCUACCUUCUGCAGAAGAAAGCAUAGAUUUUGGCACGCAGGUUUUCAGAGACGUCUGUAACAGCAGGGCUUGGUGUGUUUGCCGGUAUGGACUCCAGAGGCUCCUGUUCCUGAUACAUGAGUUGCAGCAGCAGGGCCGGAGCAGUGAGUUCUUUGUCGCCCCUCCAGGCCUCGACGUGUGCUAGAGUUUUGGGGUUGUCGCACAGCUCCAGCAGUGUCGCCAGCGCUACAUUAUGCAUGCUCCUGGGGCUCGACUGUCAAUAAAGUGAACGACGAGAGCCGCGAAUGCAUCGUUGCUACUGAUCAAUCUGGAAAUCUCAGCUUAUUGUAUUUAUAUGUUGCUUACCUGGAUGAAGUCAAGUAAGAGAAAUGCUCCUUCCUUCUCCAGAAACAAAUCCUCUGUGGUGUAACAGCCGACAAUGCAGGACCUGCACGAUAUACAGCAUCAUCAUUGACAAAUUCUACUAUAAAUUUUAUUACGAUAUUUCUGAUCCUCAUCUGAUUAUUUCUGCAUACUGCCAGUCAUAUAACAACUUACACCAAGUGCGUUACGUUUAUUAGAACACGUUAUUUAGAGAGGAUAUCUGCAGUACGGAGGAGUAACUCACCACACACAGUCCACAGCGGAGAGAACAAGUCUGUUGUGUCCCAGGCCGCUGUACAACUGAGCCGGAGGCUGGACAGAGUGACCAGCACAUCGGUCUGGAUCUCCAGAGACACUGCGUCCUCUUCCUCGUUCCUCUCCUGGAAUCGUCUCAGUAAGCCUGAGCACCGUAAAACAUAGAAUAGAGAAUAUCUGUAUGAUCUCCAUGAACUAGGUGCACUUAUAACUGUCCUAGCUCACAAACUAGAAUCUAUCAAUUCUUUAUGUCAAAAGAUUUGUAUCUGUUCUAUGAGCUAUAAUGUAAUAACAUAUUUUCUAGCAUAAGAUGUUCCUUCAUUUUGGAUCUACACAUCCAGAGCUGCUUUCCUAUCAAUUGAUGGCAUGUACUGUAUAUGGAUGUUAAGUGAAUUCACGGAAAUCUUGGAUUAAAAAAAAUAUUUUAAUUUCAGCUUGAAUGAAAUAGAAAGUAGAAAAAUGUUCAGAUUUGUAAACUUAAUGGUAGGUAAUUUUUAGGUAGCUAGUUGUUGUUCCCUUGCGUAAAGUGAAUUUGUUUACGAGAUAAUAAGAUGUGAGCUAUAAGAUAAACUCUAUGAUCACCGAUGA